rnacentral:lncRNA from 1 species
AGACUUAGAAGAAUUAUUCUUAAUAUCAUAAAUAAUAAGAUCAUAUGACAUAAUCAAUUGAAUUUACUUUAAAAAGAUUGAAUCAAUAGUCAAUAUUGAUUUUAUUGUCCAAAGAUGAAAUUGUUCUAACUUCAAGAGGAUCAUUCUUUAUUGAUCAAAAUUUAAAUCACCUUCUUUCGGAAUAAGAUAAGAAUGUUUAAAAAAGGCUUUUGACAAACCUCAUUAUUUUCUUACUUAAUAUGUGCUCUUGAAAACAAAUCUUGAAAAAUACAUGCUCCAAUAGGCUUAGCAAAAAUUUAAAACAUGUAUUGACAUAAAAUACUUGAUAUUCUUAUGAUCCAUAUAUAUGAUAAUUAGUUUAGAAGUGCCUUCUAGAUAAUGAUGUCAUUCUUGAAAUGAAUCUAAAAUUACAUAAAGUUCAUUAUUGUGGAUCUUAUAGUUAAUUUUUAUUAGUAA